GAGCGGUACGCAUUAUGGGGUAGAGGCAUGUUCGAAAGGGAACGUGUAGGCUGGUUCUGUCAGAGAGGCACGAGGCAAACAAAGCUGCUCGGUCAUGACUGAGAGCGCCAUGAAUAAUCUCUGAUUGAGGCCAAUUAUCACAGCAGACAUAUCUGACAGAAACAGAGGCGGAGGAAAAAUGAGGAAGCCUUCUCUGGAGGACAAGAUCUGGGAGUUUAUCCUCAAACGCAGAAUAACAGCAUGCCGCGUCAGCAGUCUGGUCUGAAACAUGUCAUAAAUCCGAGGGGACAGAGAUGUUGUCCAACCUAUGGAGGGAAAACCGAAGGAGAAAAUGAAAGAGAAAGAGUGGACAUCAUGCUGCUCGCCAACAGACAAUUCCAGCCACUCUGUCAGACAGCAGUUGACUGCUACUCUGCUAUUCCUGUUAGAGGGCUGAACCCACUCUGCCUUGUUGGCACAGAUAUUUUUAGCCCUGGCGUUUUGCAGAGAGACCAGCACUAGAGUGAUGGGGCCAGACAGGCCUCCAACUGCAAAAGGGCACAGCGGUGGGAUGAAGAGGGCGGAGGCGGGCAAGGUCACAUGAGGCCACUGGAGACGAGAGACUGGAAGAUGAUGUGAUGAGAUCUGGUGAUUGAGUCUUGUAGAAUCUGUCUUUGAAGAACUGCAUCUUAUACCUCUAAAAAGGCUAGCAUGGUAUUUUUAGCUUAAAAUAAAAAUAUAACUUAUCGCAACUUUUAUUUCACAAUUCUGGUAUUUAUCAGAUGUAAGAAAAAUAUAUAUAUAUAACAAAAAUGUAAACUCAUAAUUCUGAGGAAAUAAAGUCAGGAUUUGCUAGACAUAAACUCACAAUUCUGACGUACCUUCUUAUAUUUUACAGUUUACUUCUCGCAAUACUUAGUUUAUAUCUAGCUAAUUCUGACUUUAUUUCCUCAGCAUUCUCAGUUUACAAUUUUUUUUACUUUAUUUUUUUUGUUACUGCCACAAAAUAACGAAGGUAAUUGCGACUUUUUAUCUCACAGCUCUGACAUUUUUUCUCGCAAUACUGAGGAAAAAAGUAGAAAAAGAUAGAAGUCAUUUGCAAGAUAUAAACUCAGAUUUCUGACUUACCUUCUCGCAUUUCAUUUUAAUUCUAAUUCUAAUCAUACAAUAAAAUAAAAAAGUAACUGACUUUUUAUCUCACAAUUCGGACUUUCUUUCAGAUGUCAGUUGCAAGUUUAUAUCUCGCAAUUCUGAAAAAGUCCAAAAAGGCUGAAUUGAGGUAAUCUUAACAGUAUUUAUAAAAAAAAUUUCCUCUACUUACCAAUGCACUAAAAUGCCUGAACUGCCUGAAAUGUACUGCAUGUCCUUGACACAGCCUUUGCGGUGUCUUCUUCUUCUUCUUGCUUUACAAGACCGAUUUUUUUUGUGUCUUGACACAUCAAUGUAUCGUCAAGAGCCGCAGGGUUAAAUUUGGUUUUGUUUAUGUAUCUUU